rnacentral:rRNA from 1 species
UGCAAGUCGAGCGGAUGACGGGAGCUUGCUCCUUGAUUCAGCGGCGGACGGGUGAGUAAUACCUAGGAAUCUGCCUGAUAGUGGGGGACAACGUUUCGAAAGGAACGCUAAUACCGCAUACGUCCUACGGGAGAAAGCAGGGGACCUUCGGGCCUUGCGCUAUCAGAUGAGCCUAGGUCGGAUUAGCUAGUUGGUGAGGUAAUGGCUCACCAAGGCGACGAUCCGUAACUGGUCUGAGAGGAUGAUCAGUCACACUGGAACUGAGACACGGUCCAGACUCCUACGGGAGGCAGCAGUGGGGAAUAUUGGACAAUGGGCGAAAGCCUGAUCCAGCCAUGCCGCGUGUGUGAAGAAGGUCUUCGGAUUGUAAAGCACUUUAAGUUGGGAGGAAGGGCAGUAAGCUAAUACCUUGCUGUUUUGACGUUACCGACAGAAUAAGCACCGGCUAACUCUGUGCCAGCAGCCGCGGUAAUACAGAGGGUGCAAGCGUUAAUCGGAAUUACUGGGCGUAAAGCGCGCGUAGGUGGUUCGUUAAGUUGGAUGUGAAAUCCCCGGGCUUUUCAACCUGGGAACUGCAUCCAAAACUGGCGAGCUAGAGUAGGGCAGAGGGUGGUGGAAUUUCCUGUGUAGCGGUGAAAUGCGUAGAUAUAGGAAGGAACACCAGUGGCGAGAGGCGACCACCUGGGCUCAUACUGACACUGAGGUGCGAAAGCGUGGGGAGCAACACAGGAUUAGAUACCCUGGUAGUCCACGCCGUAAACGAUGUCAACUAGCCGUUGGAAUCCUUGAGAUUUUAGUGGCGCAGUUAACGCAUUAAGUUGACCGCCUGGGGAGUACGGCCGCAAGGUUAAAACUCAAAUGAAUUGACGGGGGCCCGCACAAGCGGUGGAGCAUGUGGUUUAAUUCGAAGCAACGCGAAGAACCUUACCAGGCCUUGACAUCCAAUGAACUUUCCAGAGAUGGAUUGGUGCCUUCGGGAACAUUGAGACAGGUGCUGCAUGGCUGUCGUCAGCUCGUGUCGUGAGAUGUUGGGUUAAGUCCCGUAACGAGCGCAACCCUUGUCCUUAGUUACCAGCACGUUAUGGUGGGCACUCUAAGGAGACUGCCGGUGACAAACCGGAGGAAGGUGGGGAUGACGUCAAGUCAUCAUGGCCCUUACGGCCUGGGCUACACACGUGCUACAAUGGUCGGUACAGAGGGUUGCCAAGCCGCGAGGUGGAGCUAAUCUCACAAAACCGAUCGUAGUCCGGAUCGCAGUCUGCAACUCGACUGCGUGAAGUCGGAAUCGCUAGUAAUCGCGAAUCAGAAUGUCGCGGUGAAUACGUUCCCGGGCCUUGUACACACCGCCCGUCACACCAUGGGAGUGGGUUGCACCAGAAGUAGCUAG